CAGGGCUCUUUGAGCCUUCCCCAGAUGUGGAACAGAGAAAGUUUGAAGUAGAUGCCAUUUUAAGAGCCAGGACAUGGAUUCUCCCUCUCUGCAAAACGUCCUUGCAAACUCUCGAGGGAAACCAGUGCUUCAUGUUGUUAAAGUUUUACAAGUUAUGGCAUAAAUUGUUCUUCAAGUGCCGAAUGUAGUGACCAAUAAAUCACCGAGAGGAUUCUCUGAGAUUUGCAAUUGUGGAAUUACAGAUUUUGUACCUAGUCUUGGAUGCACUGAGCUGGGUCUACUCUGAGGCAGCAAGCUGCAACCCUGCCCUGUCCAGUCACCUCACUGUCACCUGGAAGAAUCCUGUUCUUUAGUGGAAAUAAGUCACAGACGUCCUCAAAGGCGAACGCUCCAGGUGCACCCCAGAGAGCUGCCCCACUAGCUCUGACUGGCUGAUGCUGUGUUUGGCUCCAAGCACUUCUUGCUAUAAAUCCACCACAGGUGUCCUUACUCUCCAUCACCCAGUCCUUUGUUCCGUCAUUGCCUCAUAUUCAUUUAGCAAGACUUCACUGAGAACUUAGAGACUCGCUGCUUCCCUGUGGGGCUACAACAGUAAACACCACAGACAGGCGCUGGUGGCGAAGACAGCCAAACAGACCAGGAAUUACAAAACACUUCGAAAAGUGCUCUGAUGGGAGAAACACAGAGUGCCGAGGGAACAUGUGGGAGAGAUGUUGGGGAAACUUCUGGAAGGAAGUGGCCAGGUGAGAACUUCAGUCAUUUUGGAUGAGUUCCUCUUCCUAUGCUCCAGCCCCACAUACUAUCUUCCAUGCAUUCUGUUGAUUCUCCGCUGUGACAUCUACCAGGUGAGAGUUCCUUGAAGCUUCACUGCAAUUCCCCAGCCACAGAGUGUCUGAAGACUGCUGCAGGUCCAGUUUGAGUUGCUUUUACUCUCCAGGAACACACAGAUGUGACUAAAAAAAUCUGCAUUCCCCUAAAGUAACAACAUUCAUGCUACUCCAGAGACCCAGACAAAGGGGAAUUAAGCUUGCUUGAACUUGAGCCUGGGGACCAGGAUGCUGAUGGAGGCUUUGCAGAUUCUUGGGUCUCCAUGGAGACGAACAGACUCUGGCAAAAUUUCCUUCUUGGGAGAAAGGCAGUGUUGGCUGCUUUCUUUCCUCUGGCCACCCUGAGAAUGCAAGACUCAUAAAAGUGCUGUGUAUAGAUUCUCUGCAGACACGGGGCCAUUUUGUACCAUUUCUGGCCUCUUCAGAGCCCUUCUGAAGUGCUCUCUGGCAUCCAGCAUCCAGGGUGUCCAGCUGCCUCCACAAACAGCAAGAGCUCAUCAGUAAUGGGUGAC
ensembl:lncRNA LINC01191 long intergenic non-protein coding RNA 1191